UACAGAGGUCUCAAGCGUUGUUCGGAUUCAUUGGGCGUAAAGGGUGCGUAGGCGGCGCGGUAAGUCGGGUGUGAAAUCUCGGAGCUUAACUUCGAAACUGCAUUCGAUACUGCCGUGCUUGAGGACUGGAGAGGAGACUGGAAUUCAUGGUGUAGCAGUGAAAUGCGUAGAGAUCAUGAGGAAGACCAGUGGCGAAGGCGGGUCUCUGGACAGUUCCUGACACUGAGACGCGAAAGCGUGGGGAGCAAACAGG
rnacentral:rRNA from 1 species